rnacentral:rRNA from 1 species
GACGAACGCUGGCGGCGUGCCUAAUACAUGCAAGUCGAACGCACAGUUUAUACCGUAGCUUGCUCCACCAUAGACUGUGAGUUGCGAACGGGUGAGUAACGCGUAGGUAACCUGCCUGGUAGCGGGGGAUAACUAUUGGAAACGAUAGCUAAUACCGCAUAAUAUUAAUUAUUGCAUGAUAAUUAAUUGAAAGGUGCAAUUGCACCACUACCAGAUGGACCUGCGUUGUAUUAGCUAGUAGGUGAGGUAACGGCUCACCUAGGCGACGAUACAUAGCCGACCUGAGAGGGUGAUCGGCCACACUGGGACUGAGACACGGCCCAGACUCCUACGGGAGGCAGCAGUAGGGAAUCUUCGGCAAUGGACGAAAGUCUGACCGAGCAACGCCGCGUGAGUGAAGAAGGGUUUCGGAUCGUAAAGCUCUGUUGUAAGAGAAGAACGGGCGUGAGAGUGGAAAGUUCACACUGUGACGGUAGCUUACCAGAAAGGGACGGCUAACUACGUG